GGGAAGGCCAAAGGCGCUAUUCAUCGUUUAAGUACAGCAGCAACUGUGAAGGAAGGGACUGUUUAUCUUAAUCAUAUGAUUGGUUUGGGAUAUCCUAGGAAGAAACAUGUUCUUGUUGAAGCUGUUUUUUCUGCUUAAUUAUUGUUCCAUCCAUCCCUUUUCAUUUGUGUGUAAGAGUCAAUUUUAUACUUGAUUACCACACUACUAAUUUAUGUUCCUCACAUAAAGAACAGUUGUAUCGCAUCGUAUCGUAGGAUAUACAGUAUUUAUGUUGUUAUGCAUCAAGC
rnacentral:misc_RNA from 1 species